GGUUGAAAAUGGCGGAGAAACUCUGGUAAGGAGAGACUUUGAAACAGAGAUGUCCCUACGAUGAGAGACCAGUGUCCCGGGAGGGGAUAGUAUGACGAGUAUUUCAGAGUGUGAUCUCAUGAUAAAGUCGCUCCAAAAAGAGUUGGACAUAGUCCGGUUGGAGCUUGAAGCCAUAGUCCUGCAACAGAUACUAUAAAUACUGGAGGAGGAGGAGAAGGAGAGGAAAAGUGAGAGGUGAUGCUUGCUGUAGGGAAUACUAAGUUUUGCCAAUUUUACAGACCUGGCCGUAAUGAUGCCACUGAUGAUGUCAAAGUGGCCCUGAUCAACCGUGGAGCAGGCCGGAUAUAUUAUCUUAAUUUAGUGUCGGAGUUGAAGAAAGAAAUGGCAAGGAUACGCCAGCAGCUUUUCUUGCUAUUGGAAAAGUACACAAGGAUCCAGUUGGUGAUGCUCAAACAGAAAGUAGAUAAGCUGGACCGUAAGCUCCAACU